rnacentral:rRNA from 1 species
ACGCUCGACACCUACGGGAGGCGGCAGUGAGGAAUAUUGGUCAAUGGGCGCAGGCCUGAACCAGCCAAGUAGCGUGAAGGAUGACUGCCCUAUGGGUUGUAAACUUCUUUUAUAUGGGAAUAAAGUUUUCCACGUGUGGAAUUUUGUAUGUACCAUAUGAAUAAGGAUCGGCUAACUCCGUGUCAGCAGCCGCGGUAAUCUGAGCGGGCUGGCAAGGC